CGCCGGACGGCACCUAGCGCCGGACACUCGUACUAUCUCGGCAAGUUAAAACGUGUGCGAUUCAAAGAUAGGUGAAAGGGGUGCGGGGGAGUGUAGCAAUGCAGAGUCAUGCGAAACGGCUGGCCAGUGACGCAAAAGCCCACGGUGGGAGCGGACGAUUGCUGUUUUCGAUGAGACAACGCUGUGUCACUUAAGAUCCAAAGAUUAGAAUAAUUGAGUGAAAUUGUGAUGGAGGGGACCA
rnacentral:misc_RNA from 1 species